GUGCCAGCAGCCGCGGUAAUACAGAGGUCCCAAGCGUUGUUCGGAUUCACUGGGCGUAAAGGGUGCGUAGGCGGCCGGGUAAGUCUGACGUGAAAUCCCGCAGCUCAACUGCGGAACGGCGUCGGAUACUCUCCGGCUCGAGGAAUGGAGGGGAGACUGGAAUUCUCGGUGUAGCAGUGAAAUGCGUAGAUAUCGAGAGGAACACCAGUGGCGAAGGCGAGUCUCUGGACAUUUCCUGACGCUCAGGCACGAAAGCCAGGGGAGCAAACGGGAUUAGAUACCCCGGUAGUCC
rnacentral:rRNA from 1 species